rnacentral:rRNA from 1 species
GCUUGCUUUCUUUGCUGACGAGCGGCGGACGGGUGAGUANUGCCUAGGAAAUUGCCCUGAUGUGGGGGAUAACCAUUGGAAACGAUGGCUAAUACCGCAUAAUCUCUUCGGAGCAAAGAGGGGGACCUUCGGGCCUCUCGCGUCAGGAUAUGCCUAGGUGGGAUUAGCUAGUUGGUGAGGUAAUGGCUCACCAAGGCGACGAUCCCUAGCUGGUCUGAGAGGAUGAUCAGCCACACUGGAACUGAGACACGGUCCAGACUCCUACGGGAGGCAGCAGUGGGGAAUAUUGCACAAUGGGCGCAAGCCUGAUGCAGCCAUGCCGCGUGUAUGAAGAAGGCCUUCGGGUUGUAAAGUACUUUCAGUCGUGAGGAAGGCAUUAACGUUAAUAGCGUUGGUGUUUGACGUUAGCGACAGAAGAAGCACCGGCUAACUCCGUGCCAGCAGCCGCGGUAAUACGGAGGGUGCGAGCGUUAAUCGGAAUUACUGGGCGUAAAGCGCAUGCAGGUGGNUCGUUAAGUCANAUGUGAAAGCCCGGGGCUCAACCUCGGAAUUGCAUUUGAAACUGGCGGACUANAGUACUGUAGAGGGGGGUANAAUUU